rnacentral:rRNA from 1 species
UACGGAGGGGGCUAGCGUUGUUCGGAAUUACUGGGCGUAAAGCGCACGUAGGCGGCUUUGUAAGUUAGAGGUGAAAGCCCGGAGCUCAACUCCGGAAUUGCCUUUAAGACUGCAUCGCUAGAAUUGUGGAGAGGUGAGUGGAAUUCCGAGUGUAGAGGUGAAAUUCGUAGAUAUUCGGAAGAACACCAGUGGCGAAGGCGACUCACUGGACACAUAUUGACGCUGAGGUGCGAAAAGCGUGGGGGAGCAAACAGG